rnacentral:rRNA from 1 species
AGGACGAACGCUGGCGGCGUGCCUAACACAUGCAAGUCGAACGCGCUCCAUUCGGUAGCAAUACUGAUGAAGAGCGAGUGGCGAACGGGUGAGUAGCACGUGAGCAACCUGCCCCGAAGACUGGGACAACACCGGGAAACCGGUGCUAAUACCGGAUAUCCCUAUCGGAUCGCAUGAUCUGAUAAGGAAAUGUUUUUCGCUUCGGGAGGGGCUCGCGGCCUAUCAGCUAGUUGGUGGGGUAAUGGCCUACCAAGGCAUCGACGGGUAGCUGGUCUGAGAGGACGAUCAGCCACACUGGGACUGAGACACGGCCCAGACUCCUACGGGAGGCAGCAGUGGGGAAUCUUGCGCAAUGGGCGAAAGCCUGACGCAGCAACGCCGCGUGGAGGACGAAGGCUUUCUGAGUUGUAAACUCCUUUCAGCAGGGACGAUUGUGACGGUACCUGCAGAAGAGCACCGGCCAACUACGUGCCAGCAGCCGA